CCUACGGGCGGCAGCAGUGGGGAAUAUUGGACAAUGGGGGCAACCCUGAUCCAGCCAUGCCGCGUGUGUGAAGAAGGCCCUCGGGUUGUAAAGCACUUUCAGUGAGGAAGAACGCCUGGUGGUUAAUACCCAUCAGGAAAGACAUCACUCACAGAAGAAGCACCGGCUAACUCCGUGCCAGCAGCUGCGGUAAUACGGAGGGUGCGAGCGUUAAUCGGAAUUACUGGGCGUAAAGCGCGCGUAGGUGGCUUGAUAAGCCGGUUGUGAAAGCCCCGGGCUCAACCUGGGAACGGCAUCCGGAACUGUCAAGCUAGAGUGCAGGAGAGGAAGGUAGAAUUCCCGGUGUAGCGGUGAAAUGCGUAGAGAUCGGGAGGAAUACCAGUGGCGAAGGCGGCCUUCUGGACUGACACUGACACUGAGGUGCGAAAGCGUGGGUAGCAAACAGGAUUAGAUACCCCUGUAGUC
rnacentral:rRNA from 1 species